GAUGAACGCUGGCGGCGUGCCUAAUACAUGCAAGUCGAGCGAACAGACGAGGAGCUUGCUCCUUUGACGUUAGCGGCGGACGGGUGAGUAGCACGUGGGUAACCUACCUAUAAGACUGGGAUAACUUCGGGAAACCGGAGCUAAUACCGGAUAAUAUUUCGAACCGCAUGGUUCGAUAGUGAAAGAUGGCUUUGCUAUCACUUAUAGAUGGACCUGCGCCGUAUUAGCUAGUUGGUAAGGUAACGGCUUACCAAGGCAACGAUACGUAGCCGACCUGAGAGGGUGAUCGGCCACACUGGAACUGGGACACGGUCCAGACUCCUACGGGAGGCAGCAGUAGGGAAUCUUCCGCAAUGGGCGAAAGCCUGACGGAGCAACGCCGCGUGAGUGAUGAAGGUCUUCGGAUCGUAAAACUCUGUUAUUAGGGAAGAACAAACGUGUAAGUAACUGUGCACGUCUUGACGGUACCUAAUCAGAAAGCCACGGCUAACUACGUG
rnacentral:rRNA from 1 species